AUUGAACGCUGGCGGCAGGCCUAACACAUGCAAGUCGAGCGAGCGGCGGACGGGUGAGUAAUGUAUGGGUAACUGCCCGAUAGAGGGGGAUAACUACUGGAAAAGGUAGCUAAUACCGCAUACUGUCGGAUGAACCCAUUUGGUAUUAGCUAGUUGGUGAGGUAAUGGCGCACCUAGGCGACGAUGCCUAGCAGGUCUGAGAGGAUGAUCAGCCACACUGGGACUGAGACACGGCCCAGACUCCUACGGGAGGCAGCAGUGGGGAAUAUUGCGCAAUGGGCGCAAGCCUGAUGCAGCCAUGCCGCGUGUAUGAAGAAGGCCCUAGGGUUGUAAAGUUCUUUCAGUCGGGAGGCGUUACCGACUGAAGAAGCACCGGCUAACUCCGUGCCAGCAGCCGCGGUAAUUC
rnacentral:rRNA from 1 species